UACGGAGGGGGCUAGCGUUAUCCGGAAUUACUGGGCGUAAAGGGUGCGUAGGUGGUUUCUUAAGUCAGAGGUGAAAGGCUACGGCUCAACCGUAGUAAGCCUUUGAAACUGAGAAACUUGAGUGCAGGAGAGGAGAGUAGAAUUCCUAGUGUAGCGGUGAAAUGCGUAGAUAUUAGGAGGAAUACCAGUUGCGAAGGCGGCCCUCUGGACUGUAACUGACACUGAGGCACGAAAGCGUGGGGAGCAAACAGGAUUAGAUACCAGGGUAGUCCCUGAG
rnacentral:rRNA from 1 species